GACGGACGCUGGCGGCGUGCCUAAUACAUGCAAGUUGAGCGCUGAAGGUUGGUACUUGUACCAACUGGAUGAGCAGCGAACGGGUGAGUAACGCGUGGGGAAUCUGCCUUUGAGCGGGGGACAACAUUUGGAAACGAAUGCUAAUACCGCAUAAAAACUUUAAACACAAGUUUUAAGUUUGGAAGAUGCAAUUGCAUCACUCAAAGAUGAUCCCGCGUUGUAUUAGCUAGUUGGUGAGGUAAAGGCUCACCAAGGCGAUGAUACAUAGCCGACCUGAGAGGGUGAUCGGCCACAUUGGGACUGAGACACGGCCCAAACUCCUACGGGAGGCAGCAGUAGGGAAUCUUCGGCAAUGGACGAAAGUCUGACCGAGCAACGCCGCGUGAGUGAAGAAGGUUUUCGGAUCGUAAAACUCUGUUGGUAGAGAAGAACGUUGGUGAGAGUGGAAAGCUCAUCAAGUGACGGUAACUACCCAGAAAGGGACGGCUAACUACGUG
rnacentral:rRNA from 1 species